GGGGACCUUCGGGGCCCUAAUCACAACCGGGCCAUCCAUUCGGGAUCGCCCGCAAAGCAACGGAAGACACAA
rnacentral:ncRNA from 1 species